GACGAACGCUGGCGGCGUGCUUAACACAUGCAAGUCGAACGGUAAGGCCCCUCGGGGUACACGAGUGGCGAACGGGUGAGUAACACGUGGGUGAUCUGCCCUGCACUUCGGGAUAAGCCUGGGAAACUGGGUCUAAUACCGGAUAGGACCACUGCCUGCAUGGGUGGUGGUGGAAAGCUUUUGCGGUGUGGGAUGGGCCCGCGGCCUAUCAGCUUGUUGGUGGGGUGAUGGCCUACCAAGGCGACGACGGGUAGCCGGCCUGAGAGGGUGACCGGCCACACUGGGACUGAGAUACGGCCCAGACUCCUACGGGAGGCAGCAGUGGGGAAUAUUGCACAAUGGGCGCAAGCCUGAUGCAGCGACGCCGCGUGAGGGAUGACGGCCUUCGGGUUGUAAACCUCUUUCAGCACCGACGAAGCGCAAGUGACGGUAGGUACAGAAGAAGGACCGGCCAACUACGUGCCAGCAGCCGCCGUAA
rnacentral:rRNA from 1 species